ensembl:lncRNA
GUGAAUGUUCUGCAGGCUACUAUUGUGACUGGGGCUCCAGCAGUCCGGAGCAGAGCCUCUGUCCUGCCGGUUUCUAUUGCCCCACAGGCAUACACCAGCCCCUGGCCUGCACUGCAGGCACUUACAGCUCCGUCAUGGGCAACAGUCACCGAGAAAAUUGUGAGCCAUGUCCAUUAGGCUACUACUGUCAGGGUGCGGUAUUUAUUCUGUCUACAAGAAAAUUGGUUUAAAACCAUCUCUGUGCUCUUAUAAAUCUAUUACAAUUGAUCCUAUUGCAUUACAAUGCAGGGGAAGCAGUAGCAGAGCCUCUUCCAUGUCCACCGGGGCAUUUCUGCCCCACAGGCACAUCACAGGGCACUCAGUUCCCCUGCCCUCCAGGAACAAUGCAGCCACAGUCUGGGACAGCCAGUAUAGAUGAAUGUCUACGAUGUCCUGCAGGCAUGUUUUGUGCUCGCCAUGGUCUUUCAGAGCCUACAGGGCGCUGCCAGGAUGGAUUUCACUGCCCUUCGGGUGCCACAAGUCCCAACGGCACUGGAAAUGUGGUAUAUAUCAUUAGUUCAGUUUCUUAAAAAAGACACCAUGUGUUCACAAAGGGUUAAACUCAUUUACAGUGUGUGAUUUGCAGAUUGAAUCUACAGGCAACAGCAUGUGCCCGCCUGGCCAUUAUUGCCCAACUGGUAUCGGCUCUCCUCUCCCAUGCCCCGCUGGAACAUUCUCCAGCUCUCCAGGGUUGAGUGGGGCGGAGCAGUGUCAGCCAUGUCCUCCUGGGUACUUCUGUGAGCAGACUGCUAUGGUCUAUCCAUCAGAAGCAGCUCUCUGUGAUGCUGGAUAUGUGUGUAUCAAUGGCAGUCGUAGUGCUCGACCGGUAGAUGGACUGCAGGGUUAUAUUUGUCCAAGCGGACACAGUUGCCCCAUUGGUACUCCAUUGGAAGUGCCUUGUGAGCCUGGCACAUACAGCAGUGCUCCUGGUGCCGCCCACUGUCUCUCAUGCCCAGCUGGCACUAUGUGUCCUUCCCCUGGCACACAGGAGCCAUCCCCAUGUCCCAUGGGUCAUUUUUGCCCUGUUGGCACUGCUGCGGCUGUACCCUGUCCUGUGGGCUCACUGGGACAGGUUACCAGAGCUCAAUCGGAGGCUGCCUGUGUGCCCUGCCCUACCGGCCUUUACUGCAGUUCACCUGGAACGUCACAACCACAGGGUCUGAUAUCAUCCCACACUUUUUUAUAAGAGCACAGGUUUUAGUCUGUGACUGUAUCAUAUGGACUAAUUGUUGUUUUGUAGGCCAGUGCCAGCAAGGUUAUUUCUGCCAAGGAGGGUCUCCAAAUCCUGCUCCUCUGAAUACAACUGGCUACCUCAGGAAUGGCCCCUGUCCGAAGGGUCACUUUUGCCCUUCUGGAACCCUUAUGCCUUUGCCUUGCCCAGCAGGCAGCAUUCGUAAUCUCACAGGGGGUUACUCCAUAGAAAGCUGUCUUCCCUGCCCAGCAGGACAUUACUGUGCUAGCGAGGGCCUGGAUGCUCCAACUGGACCCUGUGCUGCAGGCUUUUACUGCCCAGUAGACUUCUCCUCCACCACCCCACACGCCUUCCUCUGCCCCAAGGGUCAUUACUGUCCCUUGGGCUCAACCCUGGCCUUGCCCUGCCCCACGGGACAGUACCAGCCAAAUCCGGGCUCGGAUAACUGCAUCCCCUGCCGUCCAGGCUAUUACUGUGAGGAGGCAAUUAUCGGAGACCCCCGGCCUUGCCCGCCACACUCCUACUGCCCUGCAGCAACAAUGGUUCCUCAGCCCUGUCCUAAUGGCACAUACACCCCACUUGAGGUGGGGGGUUUGCAGGAGGAGAGAGAGUGUUUGCCGUGUCCACCAGGAAAGUUCUGCAAGGCUGGCCAGGUGAAAGGCCUGUGUGCUGCUGGAUUCCUGUGCAUCUCUGGCAGUUCAGAAUUCACUCCUCAGGCCGCCUUUCUGCUAAACAGAGACCAGUGUGAGUGGGGAGCACAGUGUGCUGGACUGUGUCCUGCUGGCUUUUAUUGCCCUGUAGGCACAGAGGAACCUUUAUCUUGUCCUGCCAACACUAUAAGAGAAACCCCUGGAGCAAGUACUAUACAUGACUGUCUAACUUGUCCUCCAAGACACUGGUGCCAAGAGGGUGAUCCCAUCCCACGUAUGUGUCCACCAGGCUAUUACUGUGACGGAAUAGCUGAUUAUGAGUCUAAGGGGCGGCCGGGGCCUAGAGAAUGUCCCCUGUUUACAUACAGGCCCAUGUCUGGGGCAGGAAGCAAAGGAGACUGUCUUACCUGCCCCCCUGGCACUUUUUGUAACUCCACAGGGCUCACUGAUUUCUCAAGCUUCCUUUGUCCACCGGGUCAUUGGUGCAGUGGGACAGGUUUCCCCGUGCCCUGCCCUGCAGGCACCAUGAGGGCACAGGCAGGGGCAGCUGCUGUCAGUCAGUGUGAGCCUUGCCCUCCUGGUACCUUCUGCCCAGACCCUCGCACCUCGGGCCAGCCCAAUACAGCAGGCAUCCCAUGUCAAGCUUCUUACGAAUGUCCUGCAGGGUCAGUCACAGAGACCCUUUGCAGAGCUGGUUCAUACUGUAGACCCCAGACAGGAGAUCCCACACCGUGUCCUGCAGGAUACUUCUGUCCUGAAGGAUCUCGCACCUACAGCUCACCACAGCAAGUAUGUACUUUUCCACAUUACUGCCCAGCCAACAGCUCUACCAUGCUGUCCUGUCCGGAUGGCUGGAUGCCGCUGAACACCAGCGGUUUAAGGAAGUCUCAGGAGAGCAGCUGUGUGCUGUGUGGGGCCGGCACCUAUCGGCCCAGUCGCUCCCCUUACCUCCAGUGCCUCCUCUGCCCUCCAGGACAUCAAUGCCCUCCGGGCUCACACCAUUAUAGUGAUCAACCCUGUCCAGUUGGGUACUUUUGUCCACAAGGCAGCUCCAAUCCUGUUCCCUGCCCGCCUGGCUCAUAUGGAAACCGCACAAGUGCUGAAUCACCUGAGGAAUGUCACAAAUGCCCACCAGGGACCUUCAAUCACUUGCACGCCCAGAGAGCCUGUUUCCCCUGUGGGAGCUCAUCCACCUCAGAUGCAGGGGCGUCCUCUUGUAGCUGCAUAGGCAAAAACCGUGCGUUCCAGCACUCAGAUGGGUCGUGCUUGUGUAAGACCGGUUUUGUCUUUUACAAUGAAUUAGACUUAAAAAGCUCCACCGCAGACAGUGAACUGGACUGCCAGCCUGAGGUAAGAUGCAUGCACUGAAGAAAAGCUCUGUGUUUCUACAGUUUAUUUGUGUGAUAAGACAGUAAGGAGCUCUUCAUUCUGUGUAGGUGAAGAUGCGCUGUGGGGCAGGUCAGGUGAGACUGGCCUCUACGGUGGAAUGUGUUUUCCCAUCCACCUACUCCUGUAACGUCACAUGUGGACCUCAGGGUGGGACUUUGGAUGUUGGGAUGGGCAUUUGUCACUGCGAUAGGUACGUGUCAGCGGAGGAGCUGUGUAACUCUUCAUGUGUGUCCACACUGCCGGUGCUCUCUGCCAGACUGGAUACAGACGGACAGCUACUGUUGAGAAUCAAAGCCGCAGAUGAAAGCAAAACCUGGAGCAGGGUGGGAUCAGGAUCUGUUAAAAAGACGCUUCAUUAUUAUCUAUCAGUUAUUAUACUGUGCUUAUUGAUGUGAACUCAUGCUAAAAAUAACAUUGUUUCAUUUUUCUCUUAGGAUAUGAUAAAUAUACUAGGACCUGAUGUUCAUGUCAAGAACAUAGGAAGGAUCCACUUCGUCCAGUUCGCUCCUGAGGGAGUGUUUGGUUGGAUUUUAAAAGACCCCUUGCUCGUUGAUUCUUUAGUAAGAGGUAAGCUGCCAGUGUUUACCUGACCUCCAGGCUCAAACAUUUUGCCCAGAUCUUUCAUCAAAAUAGUCCAGAACAUAAAACUUUA